AAAUUGGAUGGGCCUGAAUCCACUUUAGAAUGCUCCUGCAGAAUAGGACAAAAUGCAAGAUCGGCGUCUCUCUAAUCCCAGGAGCAGGCAACGAUUUCUCUCCUGUGACACCAUGGGGACAAGGACGUACUAAUCAUAGUAGAAUCAGAAUCCAUAUCAAGAGGAAGAUGGGUAGCCUAAGAGCCUAUAGAAUAAAACAGCAGGACUGUUCAGCCAUUGGGACCUCCUUUUCCCUGCCUGCUCAACGCCUGGCCCACAGAGAUGCUCAGUACACAUUUGUUGGACAGAAGGAAGGGAUUACACAAGUCUAGGUUGGCUCUUGUGUGCUAGAAAAAUCUCUGAACUUCUUCAUAUUAUUUGCUAAAUGGGACAUAACUCUCUUCAGAAGGCCU